AGGAGUUUGAGGGGGACUGGAGAUACUCUCCCAGCCCCAGACGUCUUCCCAAGGCAAGAACUCAUCCCCUUCCCAGGAAGAUAUGGUCUCACAAAGAGCAUCAAUCCCUUAAUGGGACUGAUGGCAAAACUGGCCCUGAGCGGGGCAGACAUUUAUCCAAGCUCAAACAGCAAGUCAGCAGGAGAACAGGGACUCAAAUCCAGGCCUGGCACCUGCCUGUUCAGGGCUCCUUCCCUGGCACCUACUGCUUUCUAUAAAAGGGGAAAAGCUCCUUCCUGCUCCAUGAACUUUCUCAGCAGUGCUGACAGCUGAAACAGAUCAGCAUGGAAAUACCUUGCAAUCAGCAACAACAAUAAUAGUAGUAAGAGCUAAUGUUUACUGAGUACUUACUCUGAGCCUCACAUGGGGGCCAAGUGCUCUACAGAGAGAAGAUAAUGCGGACUACCUGGCAAAGGUCCAACCCCGGCGCAACGUCGGAGUCUGUGGACUCCUAGGUCAGCCGACCCCUCCGCUCACGUCUCCCGCGACUCCUCACCCUGGAAGUCGGGCCGGAAGUCACAUUCGCAGAAGGUGCCGAAGUUGCAGCGCAGUGAAGUUAGGUCCCAGGCGGCGGCCGCUGCCGAGACCAGCCCGAGCAGUCCGAGGAGGAGCGAGCGCCAGGGCCGGCAGCCACGCGUGGCAGCAGCCAUCCGGGCCCGCCCCGUCAUCCCGCAGCAGGACCGGAAGAUAGCCUCCAGGGGGAGCCCGCGAACCGUCCAAUCCGAGACAGCUGGCCGCGUUUCCAUGGCCACGCCAGAUGGAGGCCUUGGUGUUGGUGGAGAGCAGAUGCCUGAAGAAGAGUGAGGAGGCGUGAGGAGUCUCCCGUGGCUCGAACACAGUGCACCUCAGCAGGAAGGGAAGAAGCAGAAGCUGGAGGGAGGA